CACGGGGGGGAGCAAGCGUUGUUCGGAAUCACUGGGCGUAAAGGGCGUGUAGGCGGUUUGGUAAGUGGGAUGUGAAAUGCCUCGGCUCACCCGAGGACCGGCAUCCCAAACUGCCAAGCUUGAGUAUGGGAGAGGAUGUGGGAAUUCCUGGUGUAGCGGUGAAAUGCGCAGAUAUCAGGAGGAACACCGGUGGCGAAGGCGGAUCUCUGGGCCAUUACUGACGCUGAGGAGCGAAAGCGUGGGGAGCGAACAGG
rnacentral:rRNA from 1 species